CUGGCCAGAGGGCCAAGCCAUGAAGAGCAGACUGCAGCCCCUGGACCAAUUAGGGUGACCAGAGAGCAAGUGUGAAAAAUCGGGAUGGGGUAGGGGAGAAUAGGAGCCUAUAUAAAACAAAGCCCCAAAUAGCAGGACUGACCCUAUAACUUGGGACAUCUGGUCACACUAG